rnacentral:lncRNA from 1 species
CUUAAAUAAUUAACAAGAAGAGGUUUGUCCUUUUAAAGGUCCCUGUCACUGAUACUUGCCUAUAAGAAGGUCUUAGAAAUGGACCUUUCUUAAAACACACUGUUACCACUUGGAUUCAUCACAUUUUUGGGGCAGUUUUAACAUGGCAACUGCAGAAGUCACAGACACUUGAGUAAAUGGUAUUCCUCACAGCACCAAAUCAAGUCCCAUGUGUCAAGCCCCUUGCUUUGGAACUCCAGUGACAGAAGAUUAUUUUUGUGACUAUGGAGCUUAUGACAAAAUCAGUCCUUGAAUUCUUUGCUGGCACAGGCUCAGAAGUCUCCACUCCUGGGAAAAGACAAGGCUACCAGAGAGGCAAAAGAAAGCAACAAGUUAUUCCAGACGAGCAGCCUGUGCAACCCUUUGGCCAAUGUUUGACGCAUCAAAGAUCUGUCGUGGUUCAACCUUUUCAUACGCCCUUGGUCAGAACAGAGGAAAGUCAGUUUAAAAAAGAGCCAGCCAUAUUGGAAGAGGGUGCAGGAACCAUUCAGAGCUAGAAAGGUUGAAUUGCAGUGGGGAUGAGGGAGGACAACUCAAAGUUUUCUAAAUAAGGAGAUUAAGAGAUGCCUCAGUUACUGACUACUAGAACCAGCAUGGAAAAAUAAUUUGGAAUAAUAUUGUUGAGUCCACUAGAUAAAAAUAUGGAUGGAUGUUCAUCUCAAGCUGAACAAAUCCAACCUAAAAAGAGAGCACAUUUUUUUAACCACAAGUAUGAAGUUAAACUUCAAAAGACAUUUACAAGAGAAGCAAUAAGUCACAUACUCUGGAUGUCUUUCUGGGAGAUCAAGUUUUAAUCAAGCCCAAAUUAUUGGCCUAGGUACAGGUAAAAUAUAAUGGACUGCGGUAUUUGACCCUGCAGGUCUGCCUAACACCUGAUGCAUGAAUAAAGGCAUUUUAUAAGUCCGCGAUUAUGUGAUG